rnacentral:sRNA from 1 species
GGGGUACUGGGGUAGGCUCCUGGGCUUGGGGGCAGGAUCCAGGGUCAGGAUCCAGGCAGUAUAAAAGGCCUUCAUCUGCUUCUCAGGGUGGACAUCUCAGACACGCUCAUGUAUGUCUAUGAGAUGUUGGGGGCCGAGCUGCUCAGCAACCUCUAUGACAAGCUGGGUCGUUUGCUCACCAGCUCAGAGGAGCCCUACUCCUGGCAGCACACAGAGGCCCUCCUCUACGGCUUCCAAUCCAUCGCAGAGACCAUUGACGUCAACUAUUCUGAUGUGGUGCCUGGGCUCAUUGGCCUCAUCCCACGGAUCAGCAUCAGCAACGUGCAGCUGGCAGACACUGUCAUGUUCACCAUUG